UAGUAGUGUCUAGGAACUUGUGUUCCAGCU
rnacentral:piRNA from 1 species